GAUGAACGCUGGCGGCGUGCCUAAUACAUGCAAGUCGAGCCAACAGAUAAGGAGCUUGCUCCUUUGACGUUAGCGGCGGACGGGUGAGUAACACGUGGGUAACCUACCUAUAAGACUGGAAUAACUCCGGGAAACCGGGGCUAAUGCCGGAUAACAUUUAGAACCGCAUGGUUCUAAAGUGAAAGAUGGUUUUGCUAUCACUUAUAGAUGGACCCGCGCCGUAUUAGCUAGUUGGUAAGGUAACGGCUUACCAAGGCAACGAUACGUGGCCGACCUGAGAGGGUGAUCGGCCACACUGGAACUGAGACACGGUCCAGACUCCUACGGGAGGCAGCAGUAGGGAAUCUUCCGCAAUGGGCGAAAGCCUGACGGAGCAACGCCGCGUGAGUGAUGAAGGUCUUCGGAUCGUAAAACUCUGUUAUUAGGGAAGAACAAAUGUGUAAGUAACUGUGCACGUCUUGACGGUACCUAAUCAGAAAGCCACGGCUAACUACGUG
rnacentral:rRNA from 1 species